rnacentral:rRNA from 1 species
AUUGACCGCUGGCGGCAGGCCUAACACAUGCAAGUCGAGAGCGCGGCGGAAGGGUGAGUAAUGUAUGGGGACUGCCCGAUAGAGGGGGAUCACUACUGGAAACGGUGGCUAAUACCGCAUACUAUCGGAUAACCCAUAUGGGAUUAGCUAGUAGGUGGGGUAAAGGCUCACCUAGGCGACGAUCUCUAGCUGGUCUGAGAGGAUGAUCAGCCACAUUGGGACUGAGAUACGGCCCAGACUCCUACGGAGGCAGCAGUGGGGAAUAUUGCACAAUGGGCGCAAGCCUGAUGCAGCCAUGCCGCGUGUAUGAAGAAGGCCUUAGGGUUGUAAAGUACUUUCAGCGAUGAGGCGGUACCCGCAGAAGGAGCACCGGCUAACUCCGUGCCAGCAGCCGCGGUAAUUC